UACGUAGGGUGCAAGCGUUAAUCGGAAUUACUGGGCGUAAAGCGUGCGCAGGCGGUUUUGUAAGUCUGAUGUGAAAUCCCCGGGCUCAACCUGGGAAUUGCAUUAGAGACUGCAAGGCUGGAAUCUGGCAGAGGGGGGUAGAAUUCCACGUGUAGCAGUGAAAUGCGUAGAGAUGUGGAGGAACACCGAUGGCGAAGGCAGCCCCCUGGGUCAAGAUUGACGCUCAUGCACGAAAGCGUGGGGAGCAAACAGG
rnacentral:rRNA from 1 species